AUCUCUCUUGGCAUGGAAGGGGUGCAGGCUGCUGAGAGGGUGCUGUGCAGGCCACAGGUCACCCAGGGAAAUUUGGGGGAGUUUUCUAGGUUUAACAGAGACUGGACAUCAGAGCUGCACUGUGGCGUCUGGAUCUGCAGAUCCCACUUCAUCCUUUCUACUUCACGUCAGAAUUACCCACACCGUGUCAGAGUGAUUAAUUUCACUUCCAGUGCCUUCCUCUCUGAGCGGAGUGCUUCUGUAGAGACUCCUAAUUCAGUGAAACCUGUUUAGGGGAUCAUCCCUGCUAGACAGACAGCUGUGAUCGGGCAUUCGCUUCCCAGCAUGGAUUUCAGAUUCGGACCAAUCAAGAGCCGGGGCUGUGGAACACCUGUCAGCGACACUGCUACAAGGAGACUAGCUCUGUAAUCGAAUUUCAUUGUACUUCAGAAAAAGGUUUAUUUUCAAUGUGGCGUCUGCUUUUAUGAUUCAUCCCUCUCAGCUGAGACAUCAAUUUGGGGCUUAUUUAUGGUGGUGGUCUAGAGUGAAACGAGAAGCACCAAGGACGUGCUUCAAAGGCAGCCUUUCCCAGACAUUUGGUUUGCAGCUUUCUCGUAUGGAAAAAGUACAAAAGAAAUCCAAAACUUUAGCUUGAAGUUCUGUGUGUGAAUAUAAUCAGCGAUAGGUAUUCUUGAGCACAUUUUCAGAAUGUAGAAGCUGGGGAGUUCGUGUGUUUGGUGACAUCUGGGGAACUUCACUUGUGGAAAUCCGUUCUGCUCAUCUGUGAGCAGCACAACCAUCAUUGAUACCGAUGGGUUCCAAAGGCCAUGCUCAGCUUUCACCUUGGCCCUAAUUGGAGGACCUGCUAAGCCCGUAACACCAGGUACCUUCUCAUAGCUGCAGACCGCAGAGUGUAACUAUCAGAAGACAAACUUCACUGUGCAAACUAAUUUAAUGGUCUAACUAUGUGCAGCCCGGAAUAUCAGUUAAUUUUCAAAACAUUUUAUUCUACAGCAAUUAGCUCAGGUCCUGGAGGGCAAAAUGACAAGAGGUUACUCGUUCACUAUGUAUUUAAUUAAUUGAAAAAUGCUCCAAUUGCCUUUACAGUUGUUAUUAGAGAGUGGAAUCAGUGUUGCCAGCGCUCAACCAUAAUUGGAACCCCAGGGAAUUAAAUAUUUAGCAUUAGUAAUGUAACAGCACUUAGGACACAAAUUUCUAUUUUCGUAAUGAAAGCUAUACACUGUGAGUGCAAGCUGCUGAAAGGACAGCUGUGACAAGCGAAACGGCCUGGGACAUUUCAAUAAGACACCUCAUUGGACAGCAAGUCUUACCACAUUACGCGUUUGUAAGAGACCUGCAAGUUUAAUUCCCACGAGGAACUCAUAGUCCAAGUCUUUAGCGUCCUAAUUGCAUGCAGGAUGAACGCUUGGGCAAAUGUCUUCCUGUAAAUGGCUGAAAUUCAUCCUCCUUUUUAAAUAAUCACAUAUAAGUUCGUGCCUUGUCAAUUUAAAAAUUCCGGGACUGUCGGAAUAAGGGUCUUGUUUGUUUUUCGUUUAAUUAUAUUUUAAGCACAUAUGCUUUCAGCGCUCCAAUGAGAAAAGUUGGCUAUUUGGGCUCUAAUGAGCUGCAGUGCUAGACACUGGAGACCCUGAGGGAUUCACUCCAUAAAUUAGCUGGAUAAAAAAGUACUUGGUUAGGAGAGAGUUGAUGGCUGAGCUGUUGGUGGAACCAGUUAGAGUGUGUCUCACACUCCGUUUCAUUCUAAGCAGGCCCUGUAGAGACUUUAACAGCUGCCUGUUUAAACUGCUCAACUUGUCAAAGUGUAUUAUAUUACUCCGCCAGUAAGGAGUAUUAAAGGGCAUUCGACUUCACCUCUGUGUUCCGAGGGGAUCAGGUUGAUAAACACAACUGGCUUAGGCUGGCCUUAUUUUAAUUUGUUUAUGGCAGCUAAGUAAUAUUGAAGGGCCAUGUUUUAAAUUUGCAAACGUUACCUUCCCGGGGAGCCAGAACUUCCAAAAUAUGAUCUACAGUGGAAACAAGGAAUUGAGACACUUAUUACAGAAUGUCAGACAUAGAAAGAUAUCUGGUUUUGAUGUUCUUGGGCUACAUUUCAAAGAACUUGAGCGCCCACAAGUGAACUGAUACUUGGGAGGGUUGGUUCCUUUUCCUUUAUCAUUUUCAGGAAAAUAAAAGUCACAAGAAAUAAUGUCGCAACUUUCUUUUGAUUUUCUAUCAUUCCUG
ensembl:lncRNA